rnacentral:rRNA from 1 species
CCCGCGUGUGUGAUGAAGGUCGAAAGAUUGAAAAGCUCUUUUCUGAGGGAAGAAUUCUGACGGUACCUUAGGAAUAAGCACCGGCUAACUCCGUGCCAGCAGCCGCGGUAAUACGGAGGGUGCAAGCGUUACCCGGAAUUAUUGGGCGUAAAGCGUCCGCAGGCGGUUUGUUAAGUCGAAUAUUAAAUCUUGAGGCCCAACCUUAAGGCUGUAUUCGAAACUGACAAACUAGAGUUUUUCAGAGGCAUGUGGAAUUCUGUGUGUAGGGGUAAGAUCCGUAGAUACACAGAGGAACACCAAAAGCGAAGGCAGCAUGCUGGGGAAAUACUGACGCUCAUGGACGAAAGCGUGGGGAGCGAACGGGAUUAGAUACCCCGGUAGUCCACGCCGUAAACGAUGGAUACUAGGUGUUGGAGGACUCGACCCCUUCAGUGCCAAAGCUAACGCAUUAAGUAUCCCGCCUGGGGAGUACGAUCGCAAGAUUAAAACUCAAAGGAAUAGACGGGGACCCACACAAGCGGUGGAGCAUCUGGCUUAAUUCGAUAAUGAGCGAGGAACCUUACCUAGGUUUGACAUCCCGAGAAUUUUCUAGAAAUAGAAAAGUGCCUUACGGAACUCGGUGACAGGUGCUGCAUGGUUGUCGUCAGCUCGUGCCUUGAGGUGUUCGGUUAAGUCCGUGAACGAGCGCACCCAUGUCCUGUGUUGUAUUUUUCACAGGAGACUGCCGAUUCAAAGUCAGAGGAAGGUAUGGAUGACGUCAAUCAGCAUGGCCCUUAUACCUAGGGCUGCACAGGUGCUACAAUGGCUAGUACAACGGGUAGCAUGUCUAAGGCGGAGCCAAUCCUUACAGCUAGUCUAAGUUCGGAUUGAGGCUGCAAUUCGCCCUCAUGAAGUUGGAAUCGCUAGUAAAC